rnacentral:tRNA from 1 species
GACUUGGUAAGAACGGG